rnacentral:rRNA from 1 species
UACGAAGGGGGCCAGCGUUGCUCGGAAUCACUGGGCGUAAGGGGUGCGUAGGCGGGCCUUUAAGUCAGGGGUGAAAUCCUGGAGCUCAACUCCAGAACUGCCUUUGAUACUGAAGAUCUUGAGUUCGGGAGAGGUGAGUGGAACUGCGAGUGUAGAGGUGAAAUUCGUAGAUAUUCGCAAGAACACCAGUGGCGAAGGCGGCUCACUGGCCCGAUACUGACGCUGAUGCACGAAAGCGUGGGGAGCAAACAGG